rnacentral:rRNA from 1 species
UACGUAGGGGGCAAGCGUUGUCCGGAUUUAUUGGGCGUAAAGAGCGUGUAGGCGGCUUUACAGGUCCGUUGUGAAAACUCGAGGCUCAACCUCGAGACGCCGGUGGAAACCGUAAAGCUAGAGUCCGGAAGAGGAGAGUGGAAUUCCUGGUGUAGCGGUGAAAUGCGCAGAUAUCAGGAAGAACACCCGUGGCGAAGGCGGCUCUCUGGUACGUGACUGACGCUGAGACGCGAAAGCGUGGGGAGCGAACAGG